GCCUCCGUAGCUCAGCCGGUAGAGCAGCGCUCUCGUAAAGCGCAGGUCGAGGGUUCGAAUCCCUUCGGAGGCU
rnacentral:tRNA from 1 species